AUACGGGGGGGACAAGCGUUGUUCGGAUUUACUGGGCGUAAAGGGCGCGUAGGCGGACUUUCAAGUCGGGUGUGAAAACUGGCGGCUCAACUGCCAGCCUGCAUUCGAUACUGUGAGUCUUGAGUACGGGAGAGGAAAGCGGAAUUCCAGGUGUAGCGGUGAAAUGCGUAGAUAUCUGGAAGAACACCCGUAGCGAAGGCGGCUUUCUGGACCGAUACUGACGCUAAAGCGCGAAGGCUUGGGUAGCAAACAGGAUUAGAUACCCCGGUAGUCC
rnacentral:rRNA from 1 species